rnacentral:miRNA from 1 species
CCAAUGGAUUUUAGUUAUAUAAAAAAAAAUGGAUCUGAUGGAUCCAAUGGAUCCCCAUUGGAUCCAUCAGAUCCAUUUUUUUUAUAUAUAACUAAAAUCCAUUGGAU